GAUCCAAAAGCUAUUAAAGUCAAUGGAAAGGGUCCCAUUGAUUUGAAUGGGCUUUGGAUCAG
rnacentral:pre_miRNA from 1 species